rnacentral:ribozyme from 1 species
GAAUCUCUUAUAGCCAACAACACAGAGAUUCAAGAUAAUGAGGCUGCUACAAUUACAAUGCUUCAACAUUUCAUCUAUCAAGAUCGACUGUUUCCUGCACUGGAUCGCAUGUACUCCAAACAAGAAAAGA